rnacentral:rRNA from 1 species
CUACGGGUUGCACCAGCUGAGGAUAUUCUGCAAUACACGAAAGUGUGACAGAGCGAGCCAGAGUGCUUUUCCGUAUUGGAAAAGCUUUUCUCAAAUGUAAAAAGUUCGAGGAAUAAGGACCGGGCAAGACUGGUGCCAGCCGCCGCGGUAAUACCAGCGGUCCAAGUCGCAAUCACGUUUAUUGGGUCUAAAACAUCCGUAGCUUGUUUCGUAAGUCCCUCGUGAAAUCCGGCCUCUUAAGGGUCGAACUGCGAGAGAUACUGCGAGGCUAGAGACCGGGAGAGGCAAGGAGUACGUUCAGGGUACCGGUAAAAUGGGCUGAUCCUGAACGGACUAACAAUAGCGAAGGCACCUUGCUAGAACGGAUCUGACAGUCAGGGAUGAAGGCUAGGGGCGCAAAACGGAUUAGAUACCCCGGUAGUC